AUUUAUUGCCAUUACUGCCAGUGUCAAAUUUAUAAAAAUAUUCAGUUAAUGUAAAUUGAUAUUUUACAAAAAUGAUAUGAAGCAAAAUCAGAUAAUUUGAGACUUUAAUCAAUUGGAAUGAAAUUAAAUGAAACUAGAUGAGAUAAGAUGAAAUUUUGUACUCAUUUGUUGUUUUUGCGCUAAAAUUUUUUCUCUACGCUCUUGGCAGAGGCGUCGUCAAGCAACCUUAGAAUAACAACUCACAAUGAACUUGCUUAAAUACAUACUAUAGAAAAAAAUGUGUGCGUGUACUAGUGUACACACGUAAGAAGUGAAACUUAUUUAUGGCCUUAUUUUUCGAAAAAUGAUCUACAUGCAACUUUCUAGAAAUUGGUUAAAUAAAGUUAAAUUAGAUAAAGUUUAAACAAAA